rnacentral:tRNA from 1 species
GCCCCAGUAGCCCAAUCGGCAGAGGCAGCAGACUUAAAAUCUGCCAAGUGAGAGUUCGAGUCUCUCCUGGGGCACCA